UCUUUCUCUAUCAAUUUUUCUUUUCUUCAUCUCCAAGUUGGUUUCUAAGUAUCUUCUCUUCUCAAUCUGUGACCCUAGUUCGCGAACGGCAACUAAUCUUCAUCAUGCUUCCGCUGCAAGAAUCCUUAGGUUUCUUUAUUUGAUUUGGUUUUCAUUUAUUUCUCAUUUUCGUUUUGGAAUCAAUCUUUGAAUUUUUGUGAUGGGUUCUUGCAUAAACUAUUGUUGUGUUGUUUUACAGGGAGAGUAAGUGAGAGUUGACAAGAAUUAAGUGAAUGGCAACAAAGAAAUUAUCAUCUUCUUCGUGGACCUGAAGCCACCCUCCCUACGCUGACCACCAAACGUCACCGUUGCACGCACCGAAGUUGUUUGUAUUAGUUUAGAGCCGCUUCGAUCACUCUCUCACACACACGAUAUCCAUUCUUAUGCUUGGAUCUUGGAGUUUUUGAGUAAUGUAUUCUUAUUUUUAUAUAUUUUGGUUGGGUUUCUUGAAACUUUUUUAAUAUAUAGUUUAGGUUUGAGUUUAACAAUAUCCAUUACAUUUUGUUGUUAGAUUUAAAGUUUUGGAAGAGUUGAGUUGCUGUCCAGUCGAUAAGAAGAUCGAUUUUUGGCUUUUUUGACAUAAAGUUGGUGAGAAUCUUAGUUUUCUUGAAUGGGUCAUGGAUAUCUAUUAAGUGUUUGGUGCAAAAUUAAAUUACUCAUGAUUUUGGAAUGUUAUAUUUUAGUUUAAAAAGGUUGUUAUCGUGUUGUCCAGUGGAAUUAAGGUGAUUUUAACAAGUUCUCGGUAAGAUUUUUGACAAAUAUUUAAGUGGGUUUUCUCAGAUUCCUUGAAUACCCAUUUGGUUUUCAAUCGUCUUCUUUGUUGCUGCUACAUUAUUUACUUUACUGAAACUUUGUGGUAAUUUUUAAUUUUUCACAUUUAGAUUGCAGUCUGUUUAGUUUGAUUUUAAAUAAUAUGUAUUAAUUUUGCAGAUUCUAGAUUUAAUCUUCCUCAGGUUGUAAUGUAUAUUUUGGUCUUAGAUAGUCAGCCAAGCUAAGUUAAGCAAUUGUGUAGAUGGAAGCGAUCGUUGAAAGUUCAAGAUUGUGAAGGCGUUUAAGAUUUUUAUUUAAAUCUUGUAUUAGGAUCUAGUUUUAUGUAUUAUUGUAGAAUGUAUAUACAAACGCAAUAUUAAGAUUUCAUUUUCUGUAUACAAAUGUAAAAAAAAAUAUUGUAGUUUCUAAAAUAAU
rnacentral:lncRNA from 1 species